rnacentral:lncRNA from 1 species
UGCCAAAUUUUUUCAUAUUUUUUUAUAACUAUUUAGAUGUCAUGCAAGCACACGGAUGUGCUAAAAACUGUUUCCCCCGGCCGGUCUCAUGAUAUAUAUUUUGAACUCGAGGAAUAUUGGGCAAAUUAAAUUAGCACACAAAGACAGUAUAACAAGUAUAUAACACAACAUGUUCUAAUUAAGCCCUUUUGGUGGAGCAUAUUUGGGAUCUGAAUUUCUGUAUGCAACGCUGGCAACCACACUAGUCGCUAAACCUGUUGGUUCAUGCCACCUUCGUUUCUGUUGGUUUAUACUAUCUUCGUUUUAAGUUUU